rnacentral:rRNA from 1 species
UACGGAAGGCAGCAGUGGGGAAUAUUGCACAAUGGGCGCAAGCCUGAUGCAGCCAUGCCGCGUGUAUGAAGAAGGCCUUCGGGUUGUAAAGUACUUUCAGUCGUGAGGAAGGUGUUAAGGUUAAUAACCUUAGCAAUUGACGUUAGCGACAGAAGAAGCACCGGCUAACUCCGUGCCAGCAGCCGCGGUAAUACGGAGGGUGCGAGCGUUAAUCGGAAUUACUGGGCGUAAAGGGCACGCAGGCGGUUAAUUAAGUUGGAUGUGAAAUCCCCGGGCUUAACCUAGGAAUGGCAUUCAAGACUGGUUAGCUAGAGUCUUGUAGAGGGGGUAGAAUUCCAUGUGUAGCGGUGAAAUGCGUAGAGAUGUGGAGGAAUACCGGUGGCGAAGGCGGCCCCGUGGACAAAGACUGACGCUCAUGUGCGAAGCGUGGGGAGCAAACAGGGAUUAGAUACC